GCAUCUGUAGAAAUAAAUUUUAUGUGGAAAAGACAUAAAGAGAAAGAACAAUUGGAAUUCAUGCAUGUGUUCAUUUAGUGAUUCAACAAAUACUUAUUAGGCAUCUAUUAUAUGUCAGGCACUCUGUUAAAAUCUGAGAAAUUUUCAGCAAAGUGCUUAUGCAGGGAUGAUUCAUAUGCUGCAGGUAACACUGUUCUUGGUGCCCAUGUCUUCACUUUCUUUCAAACUGAUCCCUUUCAUUAGUCUGGAAGCUUCUGGACCUUCCUAAGGCUUGGAAAUCUGCUAUUUCCCUAAAGACAAAAAUUCAAGGGCAUCACUGAACAGAACUGGAAGUGAGAACAACAUUUACUCCCUGGGCAUCAGAAGCACUUUCUUACACCCACCAGUGCAGCUAAGACUAUCACUAGUGAAUUCUCUGGUUUAUGGCUUUGGGGGAGAAUUUAUAAAGCUUUACCAUCUCCCUUCUGUAUCCCCACCAUUCAGUGCUAUUCUUAUAAUAAGACAGAAGAAGUCACAAUUUGGCUGGAGAUUUGGCCAUUAGCUUCACAUCUGGUCUCCUAAAAGGGACCAAUAAAGACAGAAUUGAGUGGUGGCUCCUCAGAGCUUGCUCUGCAAAGCAAAGGGGAGUCAGUAAAGGAAACAGAUUUCUAUCUCCCUUGCUCCAUUCCCUGCUCAAUUUUAAUAGAAUUCUGGGCUAGACGGUGGUUCUGUUCAUGGAAUUAAAGUGUGCAUUUGGGCUGAACAUCCCUAGGGUCACAAGUAAUCAAGUCCUGUCCCUGUCUUAACAUUGCCCAUCUCUUUUAUUUUCCAGGCUCCAUAUUGUGCUGUUUUACUGUUUCCACACGGGCGGUGGGAGAAGGAGAUAGAUAGAUAGAUAGAUAAAGAAAAACCUUCAGAAAUGCAGGACAAACCCAAGGUACUGAAUUUGACUUUGCUCUGUGUUAUGCUUUGGAUCUUCAGUGUUCUCCGAAAGUUCAUGUGUUGAAGGCUUAGACUCCAAUGUAGGAUGUGCAGAGGUGGGGCCUUUGAAGGUGAUUGGAUCAUGAGGGCUCUGGCAUCGUGAAUGGAUUAUGUGUUCAUAGCUUAAUGGGUUUGGGGUCAGAGGUCUUAUUAUAAAAGCCAGCACUCUCUUUACUUCUUGGCUGCUGCAAGGUGAACAGAUUUACACUGCCAUGUGCUUCCCACCAUGUUCUGCUUCACUGCAGGCCCAGAAACAACAGAGCCAAGUGACCAUGGACUGAAAGUUCUGAAACUAUGAGACAAAAUAAAAAAAUUUCUCUAUCAAGUUAAUUUUCUCAGGCAUUUUUUUCACAGUGAUGGAAAGUUAACUAACAUAUUCUGCCAUGAAAAUUCACCAGAUUUUUAGAGUAGGAAUAAUACUCCUGUCUACCAUCUCCCUCAAGUUAGAGGACAUUCAUCAAGUUCUUUGAAUGUUUUGACUAAAGCCAUGCCCUAAGGGAAAUUUGAAGACAUCUGUACUCUUAUGCCUUCACAUGAUGGCAAGGGUAGAUUCAGGACAGAAGUGUUCUCUUCAAGGAGGUGUUGCUCAGAAAUUUCCUCACUUCCAAUAAUUUUUUUAUACCUACAAUGUGCCAUCAUCUAAUCCACCCUGAAAUUCCUAUGGAAUUCUCUAUCUUACAAGACCACUUUAUCAUCUCGUUUCUAUCUUGGUUCCUCAGUUGAAAUUUCUAAUUGGCCACCCAGCUACAUGGUUAUUAAUUUCAUUUAACUUUCAGACAAACCCUGUCCUAUGAAUGGUUUUAUCUUCAAUAUGAGAGGUGAAAAAACUGAGGUUAAAUAACUUGCUCGGAUCACUUACCCCAGUAUAAUUCACAGAGUACCCAAAAGUACCUACCUCCAAUGGACAGUACUUAUUUGAACUCUGGUUAAAUACAACGAUUUGGUGAGUGAUGAUUCGUAGUAAGCAGUAAGGCUAAAAUUCAAACUCAGGUAGUCCCUCUCCAAAUCCUGUGCUUUCUUAUGUACAAUACUAUGUCAUCCUCCAAUACCCAACUGAAAGACAGAAUUGGAAAACAAAAGUAUCAGAGUCUUUACUGAUACCACUGCUAUUUUUUAAACAAUUGGCAUUGGCUCAAGUCAAGGACCAUUUUAAGAAGGAAUGUGUGAGACCCAGAGGACAGUUGACUUUCCUUUUUCUGCCAACUAUUAAAUCACAGAAGUUAAUUAUGGCCCACUAAAAGUUUAUGUCACUAAACUUAGGCCUCAUUAUACCAGCAGCUAUGCUUACUCCAUUUUUUAAAAAUCUUCAACUCUUGAUUUUUUCCUUUCAUAUUUUUAUUAGCUUUUUGAAGUAAAUUCUUUUCUGGUCUUUGACCAUAGCAUUUUCAUUUGGAUUCUAUAUUGUUAAAACUUUAUAAAUAGGUUAUAAAUAACCCAAUACUGGCCUUUAAAAAUCAACAGGUCAGCUUAUAUCUAUCAGCUUCAGAAACUAGGGUUGACUAAUAACAAUCCAAGUCCUGGAUGAUUAUAAAUUGUUAAAUCUUCUAAUAUUGAAGAUCAGUGGAAGCUGAGGAAUUGUUCUAAAAUAUAUGUCACAUUCUAACAGAAUGUGCAUCUGGAUUUGAAUGAGCAAGUCAAGCAAAAUGAAUUGGAAUCAGGGUAUAUGAUCAAUAUUUUGUAAUAUACUUUAUUUAAAUAUUUCAUCAACAUUGAUUUUUCUUUGGAAUUUUAAUCACAUUUAUAAUUUAGAAU